rnacentral:rRNA from 1 species
GACGAACGCUGGCGGCGUGCUUAACACAUGCAAGUCGAACGGAAAGGCCCUGCAUUUGUGGGGUGCUCGAGUGGCGAACGGGUGAGUAACACGUGCGUAACCUGCCCUUGACUUUGGGAUAACUUCAGGAAACUGGGGCUAAUACCGGAUAGGAGCUCCUGCUGCAUGGUGGGGGUUGGAAAGUUUCGGCGGUUGGGGAUGGACUCGCGGCUUAUCAGCUUGUUGGUGGGGUAGUGGCUUACCAAGGCUUUGACGGGUAGCCGGCCUGAGAGGGUGACCGGCCACAUUGGGACUGAGGUGCGGCCCAGACUCCUACGGGAGGCAGCAGUGGGGAAUAUUGCACAAUGGGCGGAAGCCGGAUGCAGCAACGCCGCGUGCGGGAUGACGGCCUUCGGGUUGUAAACCGCUUUCGCCUGUGACGAAGCGUGAGUGACGGUAAUGGGUAAAGAAGCACCGGCUAACUACGUG